ensembl:lncRNA
UUUUUUUUUUUUUUUUGUGUAAUUGACAGCUGAAAAAUCACAUGCUCUUAAAUAUGACAACAAAACACUGUAAGCCCAUUGGCUUAUUUCCUCUUCCAAUGAAAAGAAAAGGUUGCCAUAACAGGUCUUGGAAAUGAUUCUACACUGGAGAACGCAAGUUAAGUCUAGUUGGAGCUCGCUUUGCUCCUGUGUUUUGCACCUUUGACAAAAGAAGUAUUUAUCUCUGGUUGAUGUAUUUGUGAAACAUAAAAGGAUGAUGGUCUGCUGUAAAGGACUUUCUCCUGGGAUUUUAUUUUUGUGUGGGGAAGGGAGAAUUUGGAAUACGACAUCAUGUGGUAUGGUAAAAUGGAAAAUAAAGGUGCUGUGACAGAUUAUUUAUCAGAAGAAUAUAAACCUUUUAAGGACAAUAUUAGAGUAUUUUAAUUGUUUCUGUUGAAGCAUUUAUCUUGUUAAUUUCUAAGAAAAAAGGGUGACGUCAAUCAAAGCAGCACUUUUUUUCAAAAUAUACAGACAUAAAUAAUAUGAUGUGGUUGAGUGUUAACAUAAUAAAUCAUAUACAGUAUGACAUUUUAAAGAAAUAAGUCUGCAUUGAUGUGAUUGCAUGCUUGUUUUUACAGUUCACUCCAUACCCAUCUGUGGAAAAAUGCAAUAAUAUGUUAAUAUAAUAUGGUAGUUUGAGAGAACCAGGUAGGUGCUACUAGACACAUUGAAAACUAGUAUAGGUUUACAAGAUAUUCAUGUCUUUCAAAACAUAAACAUGUAAAAGGCUGGCAAAGGAAGUCAUUCAGUUUAAUACCAAAAAUAUGGGUUCUUAUCACAGCAGUAAGUUACAGUAGCUAUAGUACAGUAUCAAAGUUUUCAGGACCUGGGGCCCAGUUCAACAAAGAUUUUAGCACAUAGUCAGCUUCAGGCAUCAGAGGAGUUCCCGUGGAGUAUAAGGCACUGUUCAUAUGCUUAAAAAUGAAGUGCUUCCCUGGAUGAGGGCCUUAUUUGCUCCAGUGGAAUUCCCCACCAGAGUGGUGUUUACACCUUCCUUCAUCCUUCCUAACUCCAGCUCGCUUGAAUAGUAGGGUUGUUUACCCAGCCAAGGUCAGGUAGGGCCUUCAAAAACAGGAUUGACCUUGUGGUAACCAUUUCAAACCAUAUUCUCCACUGGCAUACAAACAGCAUUUCAACUUGGCAAAAAACCAGAUAUAUAAACUGUACUGUUAAGAUAGGUUUGUUUUUCUUUCCAUUGGCUUGCAAUUAAAACUGCUCACAUGUGCUAAUUUUUAACCCAUUUGAUCUUCCAUUGUCUUGCACCUGGUGAUGUCCCUUGCAGCUGUGCACAGCAGGUAGGAAAAGCCCCAUGCAGAGCGUUCUACCUGGACAGCACUUUGCAGGCCUGUCUGGUCUUCACGGGUUCUAAUUACUACACUGGGUGUAGAGAGGCAUCCCUCUUUUCUGUAAGCAGAAUCAUGGCUCAACACUAAUGACAUUAAGUAGGCUAAAAGCCAGUUGUCCAUUCCUUUUGCUCGAGUUCCCAUUCUGGAAAAAAAAAAAAAAAAAAAGUUUUUACGAUGGUGUGAGGCACCCAGCGAGUGUGUAAAAUGGAGGCUCUGAAUGGGAACCACCUUCACUAAAAUGUAUGUGACAUCCUCUCCCUCACUCACUUGCAGAGUAGUUUUCUCCAGACCAGGUAGCUAGUUUCUGCCAGUGUACUGUUUACAGUGUCGACUGCUGAUUAUUUUUAAACCUUUUGAUGUAGACUUUACUUUUUUUGGUAUUUUUUUUUUGUAUUUUUUUAAUGCUUCAAGAACAUUCUCAUGAUGUGAACAAGAAAGCGGUGCAUCAGAAGACAAGGGGUGCAUCAUCCCACUGUUUUAGUGUCAUCUGACAAACCAAGAGACAGUUUAAGGAACCUGAUGUUUUACUUGAGGCUCAGAGUUUAGGCUAGAACAUCUCAGAAAGUUUCCACAUUACUUAAGGAUGGUUCGUCUUGCACUGAGACUCCCUCUCUAAAGGAACACAUGAAAAAAAACCAACUUUUCUAAGUGAGACAUGACAGUUAACAUCUUGUGUGUUUUCAUUGCAGUAUAAUAUAUAUAUAAAUAUAUAUAUAUAUAGCUAUUUCAAUGAAAAGAAAGGACAGAAUCAUCUGUAAUUAUGUAAUUCAUGAUUGUAACAGCACUGAAGUUACCAUGUACGCACAUGUACAGUAGCUCUUUCAACAGUUACAGUGUAGUUACAUGUAAUUCCCUGUAACAUAGCAGUUCUAGUGUAAUUUAGUGCCACUUAUUGUAAAGUGUUACCAAAAGGAAAACGGACUUCUUACCUUUAGAAUUCCGUUCCAAUUAAAGGUAAGUUUAUUAAAUUAGCAUCAUUAAAUCUGAUAUUGCGUUUCUUAAUUAAGGAGAUGAUUUAAAACAUUCAUGUUCACACUGCAGCUUCCCCCCAUGGCUUACCCAGACUCCUCCAAAUGUCUAAUCUCUACACUCCUAGGGACUGGUAAUCUGUGAUGAACAUACCAAAAAUCCCAGCUACUCCAACUUUAAUUGAGCAAGCUGUCUAAUAACGAAAAACAGCAACAACAAAAAUGAUGAGUAAUGCUUUUUAUUAAGUGGCACAAAUCACAAGGGAAAAGUGGAAGGUACAUCUACAAGCAGUGGAUAUCCAAAUGCAAUAUGUGUAAUUCCUCUACUUGCAAUGACAACGGAUUUAUAAAAAAUACUGCUCCUCAUUCUCAUCAGCUUUGCUUUCCAUUUCUUGGAGCACCAUUAAAUACCACUGAAACACCUUUAGGCAAAGUAAGACACUGACUCCUCUAAUGGCUUUGCUUCCAGCACUCUGAAUGUCUGGCAACACAGUUCUGUAAUCUUAUUGCUGGCUCAACAGCACAAGUUUCAUCUUUUUUUCUGUCCUCAAGGGAGCCUAGUAUGUUAGGAUGCUGAAAUAUGCUGCCAUAUGCCCUGGUAUUUUUAGCAGGAACAACAGAGAAAGAGAGAGAGAGAGCUGCAUUCUUCUGACCCCUAUUUUGCUGAAUCAUCUCACCUGGAAUUUCCACUACUUGCUCAGUAAUGCCAGGUAAUCUUAAAUUUUAAGUACAAAAUGUUUCCGUUACAUUACAGAGGAUGCCCUAAAUGUAAAACUAAUGUUUUUGUAAACAUGAAGUUUUGUAUUGUAGAUCUUUUUCCUUCUUGACACUUUUCCAUCUUGCCCUUCCAGAAGAAAUGCACCAAAAGAUAGAUAACAUAGAAUAGCAAAAGAAGAGAAUUUUUUGUAAGCCUUCUUGUAGUUGCCAUUGCUAUCACCCUCCUUUGUGUCCUGUGUAACAGGCAAAUAAAUGUAUUUAGCAACUGCCAUUACCAUUAUUCCACAUUAUACUAUUCCUAGAAUAUGACAUCUACCUCUUAGUCUAAAUACUAGCUAUGAGAUAUUUGUAUACAUUUUAAAUACUAUUGAAACUUUGCUUUAGUCUUGAAAUGAAAUCACUGUAUUUUUUUUUUUUCUGUUAAAAACAGGUAAAAAUAUUUUCUGGGUUCAUAAUUCUUGCCCUGUUCUUAUUAAUUUUGGUAUAGUUUUAUCUUUUUAACAGGGCAUAAGGACACAGCCUCAGCUGGUAUAAAUCAGCUUCACUCUGUUGCCUUAAAUGUGGGCCAAUUUAUGCUGGCUGGGGAUUCAUCCCAAACAGCUUAAAAAUAAACUGCUAUAACACAUCAAUAUUUAGUCAGCUCUGGAUAAUGAUUUGCAAUCCAACUGCAACACAAUUCUUCCAAGUAAGACAUGCACGUAUGAAAAGAAACUUUAAAAAGCACAUGCAAGCUUUUGAAUUAAAUAUGCAAUAUCAACACUGUUGAUAUAUCCUGACUUGUCUCUCACCUAUUUAAACAUUGCCAGGGCAUGUUUACAUUAAAAACACUCAAUGCAUGGGGAGCAGAGAAGGACUAUUGCAAACAGCAGGAGAAAAUUAAAUUAAUAGAGAAGCCUUUGAUGUCAACAGAACAGAGUAGAAACUCUUUUGAGAGUAGGACUUCCUAUAGGGCUUUUCAGGGUGGACCUAAGGCAUCUAAAACACAUGAAAGUUGUUUACUUGGCAUUAAGAGAAGCUAGGACAGUUCCUUCUUGCUAUCGAGGAAUUUUACCCAGCACUCUGCACUUCUUUUAACUCAGGAGAAAAUAAAGGUACAAACAUGGUUGAACAGCACACUUCUGUUUCACUCCACAUCCUCAGGAUGCUCCAAGCCGUGUGCUUCCAGCAGCCCUUAAGAGAAUUCUUCCAGCAUCUAGGAAUCAUCCUGUUGCCAAGCUGUGUUCAUUUCCUUCAGCAAUGUUUAAUGUACUCAAAACCAGACCAGAAGGUGUGAAGCCAAUUUGAAUGAGUCUGCAGUUCUAGGGGAUUCCAGAGCCUUGCAGUAGAUGGGGAAAGAAAAUUUUAAAAAAAAAUUCUUCAUGGUUUCUAUGUUUACUGUAGGUCUGCCCUGCACAUUCUGUGUCUUAAGUCAUUUAUUCUCUGCUGGGCUAAAAGCAGCAGUCUAAUUGGAAAGGAGGAAGGAAAACUAUCUCCUCUAAAAGGAGCAGUCUGUGCUACUAUUAAAGAAAAGUUCAAGGGUUUUUGUUUCUUCUCUUUUUUAAGAUUUCAGGUGCAAAGCCAAGCCUGUUGGGGUCAGCACUUUAGCACUUUCCCUGUGUUCAGGGUCAAGCCAGCAGUGUUUCAUGUGUGAGCUCUGGUCUCAUGUUUCAGCACAAACUGCAGACAGACUUAGCCUGCCCUUAUGCAUAGUGCUGAAAAUCACCAAUGCUAUUUUCUUCUAAACAUAAUAAUUUUCUCAGUCUUGUUCUAAAAUAAAGAAUUGAAGGGGUUUUAUAAUAGGUGUAAAGGGAGGGAGUUUAAAGUAAUAGUUUGUAAAUAAGAUUGUAAGGAUGAUCAUCAACUCUUUAUGUUGAUUAUAAAGAGGAGAUCGUCUUUAAUUGCUGGGCUGAUUUCUUUAUCAUUUUCUCUUUCUCUCCUUUCUAUGCAUAUUGAUUAAUGUUAGUAAAUAUGCAGUUGCACAUGUUGUCCUUUUCCAGUGAAUGCAGAUUUGCUUAUACCCCUAUAUAGCUUUCAUAGAAAUAUGCAAAUAUAACCUACAGUCAUCUGCUUCUGCCAAAACAGUGAGCCAAGAGAGGGAAAUCAUGGAUUACUGGAUUCAUAUAUGUCCUGCUUCCAUCAAAAUUGAGUACAGUACGCCUAUUGAUCUCACAAGAACAAGGCUCAAGUCCUUAAUGCACAUGUUUGAGUUGCUAUUUAGCUCUUUUUCAAAAGAAUUAUAAAGCAAUCCUUGUGCGUCCUUUACUUUUAGCCUAGAUAUUUUAUAACUACAAAACCCCUUUAGUUCACCAGGAAGUUUCCUAGAAUAAAUAAUAAGGGAUAAUUUGUGAAAGGACUAUAACAACCUCAUCUAUUCAUGCUCAGUGUCAGUGUAUUCUCCUAGGAACUCUGGUGUUCUUUGCUCUUACACUGGCAAUUUAUAGCCCUGAGAAGGAUAUAUUCGAAUGGUUCAGAAAUACAACCACUGACCUGUAAAAAAAAACCACAAAACCAUGGGAAUUAAACAUAUUGCACUGAUGAUGAGACACAUCAAUUUCAUUUUAUUUCCUCAUUAACAACUUUAAACAGACAAAAUGCAUAUUGUAAUGUUGGGUACAUGACACUUGCAUGUUGCUAUGCCUAUAUACUUACAAAGUAUUCAAUGUGUACUUGGUGGCGCUUAAAAAUGUCAUGUACAAUUCUAAACAUUCUUACAGGGUUCCCAUUUGCACUUCAUCUUUCAGAAAAGUCUUGUCAGAAAAUUGUCUGAUGAAUAUUAUUGAAAAAAAAAUAAAAUUUCAAUUUUA